GAGACCAGCUUUUCCUCUGCUAACCUUUUUUUGGAUACUGGCAACCACCCUAUGACUUUUGACCAUCUGCCCCUCCUUUUGUGGUCACAGUGUCCUCUGGGUGGACCUUUCAAUGGAGGCCCAUUUGGUCACAGUAAGCACACCUUUGUCCUGCUGUCAAAAGAAAUCUGGGACAUAUGGAUGGCUUUCUAGAAGUUCCUUCUCUUAAUUGGCUUAAACUGGGGACAAGCAGGUGGAAGGGAUCCAGCACACUGGCAACUCUCUCCAAAACAGCUCCUCUGCCCUCUGAGGAGUGUUCUUUGGCUUGGAUGGCUGUAUGGUGGGCUAUCACUGAAAGCAGGUGUACGUUCUGUUUCUGCAGUCCUGCAAGGAGGCUCAGCAUCUUGCUUUAGCAUGUGGGUACCUGGCAAUUUGCUCUAUGUCCUUAGGGUCUCUGAAGUCAAGAAAGUUCUGUUUAAUAUUCUAUUGCCAGGAACAGCUAAAUAAUUUGUGGGUCUCAGUGCAAAAUUAAACUGCAAAACCCCUUGUUUGAAAGUUACUAAGAAUUUCUAGAUGGUCACAGCAAUAAAUUAAGCCAAGUACUGGGUCCCUGUACAUGAGCUGACUCUGUUAUGUGUGCUUAGGUCUAAUCACAAGAAGAGUAGAGGUCAUACAAAGCUAUAUUAUAUUAAUGCUCACUGUAAAUUUUACUAAACAGUCUACCCAAUCAUGCUGCAGAUGACAACAUUAAAUGGUAACUUAUUAUUAAAGGUAAGACUAUUCACAAUUACAAACAAGGACCAGCAAUGAUGCUUUGAUAAAGCAUUCAGGAAUUCUCCUGAUCUCCAUGUGGCACAUUUGAGAGGAGCAGGGUUCCAUUAAUCAGCAGAGUGGGGAGGUCUGACUUAGCAGUAGAAAACCGACUGAGAAUCCUUAAUCAACUCUUGCAAUGCACAUUUUUUUCAAAUUAAUUUGUAAGUAAAGAACCAAUACCUUAAGAACUCAUGUGGUAGCAUACUGAUCAGUAGCUCUUGGUUUUAUAUUAUGAUUAAGGGGUUAUUUGGGGAAUUUUAUAUUAGUUAUCUGUGAGAAUAUCACCUGUGAGAAUUAAAGAAUGGGCUAGCACUUUAGGAUCUAUGUGCUACCACCUGACGGCUCUGACACCAAUUCUUUGCCCUUGGUGCGGGUGGGUGCUCCUGGCUCUCACCCACCCAUCAUUACCUGUUGCUAUGGCCUCUCUUAGGGAGGGCUGAGUGGGGCCUGCAGUUGAAGGGACUUGAGCCAGAUUUGGUGUUAGAAAGGUCUAUGGCAGUACAAAGGGAGAGGAGGGGCUGUACCUGCCAAGGAACUCUCCUCCUGCCAGCAGAGGGGUGAG
rnacentral:lncRNA from 1 species